rnacentral:rRNA from 1 species
UACGGAGGAGGCAAGCGUUAUCCGGAAUUAUUGGGCGUAAAGCGUCCGUAGGUGGUUAUUCAAGUCUUUUGUUAAAUAGUGGAGCUCAACUCCAUAGAGGCGGAAGAAACUGAGUAACUUGAGUGCGGUAGGGGUAGAGGGAAUUCCAGGUGUAGCGGUGAAAUGCGUAGAUAUCUGGAAGAACACCAGUGGCGAAGGCGACACGCUGGGCCGUACCUGACGCUAAAGCGCGACAGCAUGGGGAGCAAACGGG